GAUGAAGAACGUAGCGAAAUGCGAUAACUAAUGUGAAUUGCAGAAUUCCGUGAAUCAUCGAAUCUUUGAACGCACAUUGCGCCCGCUGGUAUUCCGGCGGGCAUGCCUGUUCGAGCGUCAUUUCAACCCUCAAGCCCCCGGGUUUGGUGUUGGGGAUCGGCUCUGCCCUUCUGGGCGGUGCCGCCCCCGAAAUACAUUGGCGGUCUCGCUGCAGCCUCCAUUGCGUAGUAGCUAACACCUCGCAACUGGAACGCGGCGCGGCCAUGCCGUAAAACCCCAACUUCUGAAUGUUGACCUCGGAUCAGGUAGGAAUACCCGCUGAACUUAAGCAUAUCAAUAAGCGGAGGA
rnacentral:misc_RNA from 1 species